UCCGAAGGGGGCUAGCGUUGUUCGGAAUUACUGGGCGUACAGCGCACGUAGGCGGCUUUGUAAGUCGGGGGUGAAAUCCCAGGGCUCAACCCUGGAACUGCCUUCUAAACUGCAAGUCUGGAGGUCAGGAGAGGCGAGUGGAAUACCGAGUGUAGAGGUGAAAUUCGUAGAUAUUGGGUGGAACACCAGUGGCGAAGGCGACUCGCUGGACUGAUACUGACGCUGAGGUGCGAAAGCGUGGGGAGCAAACAGG
rnacentral:rRNA from 1 species